CUCAGUUGCGGUUGAAUGUAGGAGGUGGAACGAUACCUAUGUGACACACCUGGUGUGAGUGAACCACACAGAAAUGCCGAAAAAUCGAUACGAUGAUCUGCAACAGAAAUUAGCAAAAAUGAUAAAGUUAAAUCAAAGAAGAGUAAAAACCGUGACACCAAGCUGGAAAUGGAAGAACAAGAGAACACCUUUGAAAAUUUCGAGGUUAUCAGAAGCCGCAUAGACGAACUAGAAGAAAAUACAAAAAAUGCGAAGCUGCCUACAGGAAAUCUGCAAGUUCAAAAGGUUUUCCAACCAAAACAAUUUCAUUCAAAAAUAUACCUACAUUCAGUGGCGGAUUAUGCUUCAGUGAGGCCCUAGGCGCAAAUCAGGUUUGGGGCCCCUAAAUCCUAAAUUUAAAAAUAUAUUCUAAUAAUACCACAAUAAAAUAAAAGACAAUACAAAUUUAAAUACAAAUUACAAAUUUACUUUUCUUGCCUUCUCUUGGGCAAAGAUUUCAAUAAUUUUGUCGUACUCUAGUUUUUUAAAAAACUCAUUCAUUUUCUAUGAACAUUAAUGCCAGGUCAUUUAAGUGCUCUUGUGAAAGACUAUUGCGCAGAUAGUUAUUGACUCGUUUUAAAACUGAUAAUGUCCUUUCUCCACUUGCAUUAGAAACGGGCAAGGUCAAAAAAAUUUGCAGUAUUGUGUGUAUAUUUGGAAAAGUUGAUUUUAGACCAUUACUUAAUGUUGCAUACAUUUCAUGUGGAUCUCUAAUAUUUUCUUCUUGUAUGUAUUUUAGAAAAUGAGUUAACUCAUCAGUGAAAUAUUCUGGCUCAAUAUCUUUUUCAUACUUAGAUAAUAAUCGCUCUACACAAUUAUUAGUCUCAACACGACUUAAUUUUAACUCAAAGAAAAUUUUAAAAUCGUUAAGAACAUUGAUAUAGACAUCGCCCCUUCGAGUAAUUUCCAAUAUUCCACCGUCUUGUAGAUGCAGCAAAGAAAGAAGGUAUAGGUAUAUAUUUUGCAAAAACAUAUAAUACUGCAAUGCUCCAGAACAAGACUCCGCUGCAGUAUUCCCAGCCAAAUUUAAAGAAUGACUUCUACAUGGUAUGAAUUCAGCUGAUUUGGAAUGUUGUUUUAUGCGUGCCUGUAAUCCACAGUACUUGCCAGACAUGUUAGCAGCGUUAUCAUAAGAUUGGCCCCUACAGUUUGUGAUAUCUAAGCCAUAAUCAUGUAACUUUCUAAGUACAAUUUCUUCUAACGUUGAAGAAUCAUGUCCAAGAAAUUUAAUAAAUUCAAAAAAUCUUUCUCUUACUA